rnacentral:rRNA from 1 species
GACGAACGCUGGCGGCGUGCUUAACACAUGCCAGUCGAACGGAAAGGCCUGCUUUCCCUUGUGGAUUGCGGGUACUCGAGUGGCGAACGGGUGAGUAACACGUGAGUGGUCUGCCCCCAACUUGGGUAUAAGCCUGGGAAACUGGGUCUAAUUCCCGAUAGGACUGCAGGGUGGUGCCUGUGGUGGAAAACGAUUUUCUAGUGGUUGGGGAUGAGCUCGCGGCCUAUCAGCUUGUUGGUGGGGUAAUGGCCUACCAAGGCGGCGACGGGUAGCCGGCCUGAGAGGGUGGACGGCCACAUUGGGACUGAGAUACGGCCCAGACUCCUACGGGAGGCAGCAGUGGGGAAUAUUGCACAAUGGGCGGAAGCCUGAUGCAGCGACGCCGCGUGGGGGAUGACGGCCUUCGGGUUGUAAACUCCUUUCGACCGCGAGGAAGCCACCUGGUUGGAAGGGUGGUGACGGUAGUGGUAGAAGAAGCACCGGCUAACUACGUG